AUUUAUAUAUUAUAAUUAUUAUCGUUGACUUCCAAUCAGCAGAUCUAGAAAACCUAGUAUAAAUA
rnacentral:tRNA from 1 species